rnacentral:tRNA from 1 species
CAAAGGGUAGUUUAACUUAAGAUCUUAGCUUUGGGAGCUAAGGAUGGAAGUUAGAGUCUUCCCCCUUUGA